rnacentral:lncRNA from 1 species
CAUCAUCCACCCAUAGUGUUGACUUUCCACUUUUAAGAACUCCCAGACUCUUCUGGACUUUUCUGCUCCAUCAUCUUGUAUUCCCAACUCGUUCGUACUUCACGGAGGCUGAACUCUUGGGAUUCAUACAUACUUUCCAAUCAUCAGACUUUGAAGAGUCUUCUUGAUUAACUUUCCAGGAUCGUCAUCGUAAUCCUUCACCGUCU